rnacentral:rRNA from 1 species
UACACAUGCAAGUCGAGGGGCAGCAUCAUCAAAGCUUGCUUUGAUGGAUGGCGACCGGCGCACGGGUGAGUAACACGUAUCCAACCUGCCGACAACACUGGGAUAGCCUUUCGAAAGAAAGAUUAAUACCGGAUGGCAUAAUUAUUCCGCAUGGGAUAAUUAUUAAAGAAUUUCGGUUGUCGAUGGGGAUGCGUUCCAUUAGGCAGUUGGCGGGGUAACGGCCCACCAAACCUACGAUGGAUAGGGGUUCUGAGAGGAAGGUCCCCCACAUUGGAACUGAGACACGGUCCAAACUCCUACGGGAGGCAGCAGUGAGGAAUAUUGGUCAAUGGACGAGAGUCUGAACCAGCCAAGUAGCGUGAAGGAUGACUGCCCUAUGGGUUGUAAACUUCUUUUAUACGGGAAUAAAGUUAGCCACGUGUGGCUUUUUGUAUGUACCGUAUGAAUAAGGAUCGGCUAACUCCGUGCCAGCAGCCGCGGUAAUACGGAGGAUCCGAGCGUUAUCCGGAUUUAUUGGGUUUAAAGGGAGCGUAGGCGGGUUGUUAAGUCAGUUGUGAAAGUUUGCGGCUCAACCGUAAAAUUGCAGUUGAUACUGGCGACCUUGAGUGCAACAGAGGUAGGCGGAAUUCGUGGUGUAGCGGUGAAAUGCUUAGAUAUCACGAAGAACUCCGAUUGCGAAGGCAGCUUACUGGAUUGUAACUGACGCUGAUGCUCGAAAGUGUGGGUAUCAAACAGGAUUAGAUACCCUGGUAGUCCACACAGUAAACGAUGAAUACUCGCUGUUGGCGAUAUACGGUCAGCGGCCAAGCGAAAGCAUUAAGUAUUCCACCUGGGGAGUACGCCGGCAACGGUGAAACUCAAAGGAAUUGACGGGGGCCCGCACAAGCGGAGGAACAUGUGGUUUAAUUCGAUGAUACGCGAGGAACCUUACCCGGGCUUAAAUUGCAACUGACGGAAUCGGAAACGGUUCU